ACUCCUGUAGCGCAAUGAAUAGCGUGUUGGACAUCUGAUCCAAAGCUCGUGGAUUCGAAUCCCACCUAGGAUG